GGGCCAAAUUCAUUCCACUAACAAAUUAAGUCAUCUUUUGAGUCACUAACAAUAAUCUAAGAGCAGACUAACACGCUCAAAAGGCACACUCAAAGAGGUUAGCGAUGAAAUUAGUAGCAGUUUUCCCUUUUGUUGCCAAAAAACCAGACUAGCAGUGUUUCUUCUCAUGGCUGAUCUUCUUUCUGAGCUGCUCACCAAAUUCAUCUCCCUCUUACCUCUUUCAGAGAUUGAAAAUGAGACUGUGAGUUGUUUCAAUAUUGAUGAUGCGGUUUUGGGAGAGUGUCUUUGUAUGAUUGUGAAUUAUCAAACUAAUGAAAUUGAUGUUUGGGUGAUGAAAGAAUAUGGUUCUAGAGAUAUUUGGUGUAAACUUUUUACUUUGGUUAAAUCGUGUUUCAAUUUUCAUUUGGAAUCUUUGAGGCCUUUAUGUUAUUCGAGUGAUCGAAGUAAAGUUCUGUUGGUAACAAAUCAUGCAAGUUACUUGUAUUGUAUGUACAUCCUAGGAAGCUGUUUUGGUAUGAUCUCAACAGUGAACAACUUACUUAUGUUCAAGGAAUUCCUACUUUCAAUGAAGUAAUGAUUUGUGCUGAAAGCCUUGGUAUCACCUUCCUUACCUAUUGAUUCCUGCACAAGUUGAGAUGCGAAAGCACAUACAAGAGAAGGGAUUUAAAUUGACAUUGAAAGAGAGCCAAGGAAGAACCAGUGAUUGGUAGUCGAAACCAGAUGCUCAAAGAAAAACGACCUAUAUGUCAUUUAGGUAUGGUGUAAAGAAGUGUUGAAAACAAUUAUUAUCUAGGAUUUUGUAUGUAUGUGUAUCGAUAUGGUUUUACCAUCGAUUGUAGUAAAACUUUUACAUUUGACUAUGUUACAUGAAGUGUAUUUUUGGUUUGUUUUAUUGUUGAAA